rnacentral:sRNA from 1 species
UGUACAUUUUGGAAAUAUGGGUGUUUACUAAUGGAUUCUAGGAAAAAAACCUCAUUUACCCAUUUACUCAAUAAAAUGUCUUAUUGUGGCUUGUGUGUGUGUGUGUGUGUGUGUACAUACAUAUAUACAC